rnacentral:rRNA from 1 species
AGUGAACGCUGGCGGUAGGCCUAACACAUGCAAGUCGAACGGCAGCACAGUAAGAGCUUGCUCUUACGGGUGGCGAGUGGCGGACGGGUGAGGAAUACAUCGGAAUCUACUUUUUCGUGAGGGAUAACGUAGGGAAACUUACGCUAAUACCGCAUACGACCUACGGGUGAAAGCAGGGGAUCUUCGGACCUUGCGCGAUUGAAUGAGCCGAUGUCGGAUUAGCUAGUUGGCGGGGUAAAGGCCCACCAAGGCGACGAUCCGUAGCUGGUCUGAGGGGAUGAUCAGCCACACUGGAACUGAGACACGGUCCAGACUCCUACGGGAGGCAGCAGUGGGGAAUAUUGGACAAUGGGCGCAAGCCUGAUCCAGCCAUACCGCGUGGGUGAAGAAGGCCUUCGGGUUGUAAAGCCCUUUUGUUGGGAAAGAAAAGCAGCAGGUUAAUACCCCGCUGUUCUGACGGUACCCAAAGAAUAAGCACCGGCUAACUUCGUG